UACGUAGGGUCCGAGCGUUGUCCGGAAUUACUGGGCGUAAAGAGCUCGUAGGUGGUUUGUCGCGUUGUUCGUGAAAACUCACAGCUCAACUGUGGGCGUGCGGGCGAUACGGGCAGACUUGAGUACUGCAGGGGAGACUGGAAUUCCUGGUGUAGCGGUGGAAUGCGCAGAUAUCAGGAGGAACACCGGUGGCGAAGGCGGCUCUCUGGGACGGUACUGACGCUGAGACGCGAAAGCGUGGGGGAGCGAACAGG
rnacentral:rRNA from 1 species